rnacentral:rRNA from 1 species
CAUGCAAGUCGAACGAUGAUGCCCAGCUUGCUGGGCGGAUUAGUGGCGAACGGGUGAGUAAUACGUGAGUAACCUGCCCUUGACUCUGGGAUAAGCCUGGGAAACUGGGUCUAAUACUGGAUACUACCUCUUACCGCAUGGUGGGUGGUGGAAAGGGUUUUACUGGUUUUGGAUGGGCUCACGGCCUAUCAGCUUGUUGGUGGGGUAAUGGCUCACCAAGGCGACGACGGGUAGCCGGCCUGAGAGGGUGACCGGCCACACUGGGACUGAGACACGGCCCAGACUCCUACGGGAGGCAGCAGUGGGGAAUAUUGCACAAUGGGCGGAAGCCUGAUGCAGCGACGCCGCGUGAGGGAUGACGGCCUUCGGGUUGUAAACCUCUUUCAGUAGGGAAGAAGCGAGAGUGACGGUACCUGCAGAAGAAGCGCCGGCUAACUACGUGCCAGCAGCCGCGGUAAUACGUAGGGCGCAAGCGUUGUCCGGAAUUAUUGGGCGUAAAGAGCUCGUAGGCGGUUUGUCGCGUCUGCUGUGAAAGCCCGGGGCUCAACCCCGGGUCUGCAGUGGGUACGGGCAGACUAGAGUGCAGUAGGGGAGACUGGAAUUCCUGGUGUAGCGGUGAAAUGCGCAGAUAUCAGGAGGAACACCGAUGGCGAAGGCAGGUCUCUGGGCUGUUACUGACGCUGAGGAGCGAAAGCAUGGGGAGCGAACAGGAUUAGAUACCCUGGUAGUCCAUGCCGUAAACGUUGGGCACUAGGUGUGGGGGACAUUCCACGUUUUCCGCGCCGUAGCUAACGCAUUAAGUGCCCCGCCUGGGGAGUACGGCCGCAAGGCUAAAACUCAAAGGAAUUGACGGGGGCCCGCACAAGCGGCGGAGCAUGCGGAUUAAUUCGAUGCAACGCGAAGAACCUUACCAAGGCUUGACAUUCACCGGACCGCCCCAGAGAUGGGGUUUCCCUUCGGGGCUGGUGGACAGGUGGUGCAUGGUUGUCGUCAGCUCGUGUCGUGAGAUGUUGGGUUAAGUCCCGCAACGAGCGCAACCCUCGUUCUAUGUUGCCAGCACGUGAUGGUGGGGACUCAUAGGAGACUGCCGGGGUCAACUCGGAGGAAGGUGGGGAUGACGUCAAAUCAUCAUGCCCCUUAUGUCUUGGGCUUCACGCAUGCUACAAUGGCCGGUACAAAGGGUUGCGAUACUGUGAGGUGGAGCUAAUCCCAAAAAGCCGGUCUCAGUUCGGAUUGAGGUCUGCAACUCGACCUCAUGAAGUCGGAGUCGCUAGUAAUCGCAGAUCAGCAACGCUGCGGUGAAUACGUUCCCGGGCCUUGUACACACCGCCCGUCAAACACGAAAGUUGGUAACACCCGAAGCCGGUGGCCUAACCCCUUGUGGGAGGGAGCCGUCGAAGGUG